UUACUUUGAAUCUGAAUCAGAAAGAGCUUUAUUAUCUAGUGUGCUUGCCUUGCACACAUAAGGAAUUUGUUUGUGUGCUGAGGCUUCCAGUGCACAUAUACUAACACAACAGGAAACGUAUUAUAAUUACAAAAUUAUUUUAAUUUCAGGUAUAACCAUAUGGAACUAAUAAAUCCAUGAAGACCGAUCCCGUAGUGAUGCCCCCAGUCCCCCGCCCAGGUCCAGACAUGAUAAAAGAGUACAGCGCAGUGAUCUCAGCACAUGACAGGCACGAUGCAGUGACUGAGACUGGGAGAUGCAGUGACUGAGACUGUGUUCCAGAAAAAUGUCCUGAAACUACUGGUCGACAUCCGCCAUCGCCUGAAGGAAACCAGGUAGUGGAUGCAAAGGAAAC